rnacentral:rRNA from 1 species
ACUCCUACGGGAGGCAGCAGUAGGGAAUCUUCCACAAUGGGCGCAAGCCUGAUGGAGCAACACCGCGUGAGUGAAGAAGGGUUUCGGCUCGUAAAGCUCUGUUGUUAAAGAAGAACACGUAUGAGAGUAACUGUUCAUACGUUGACGGUAUUUAACCAGAAAGUCACGGCUAACUACGUGCCAGCAGCCGCGGUAAUACGUAGGUGGCAAGCGUUAUCCGGGAUUUAUUGGGGCGUAAAGAGAGUGCAGGCGGUUUUCUAAGUCUGAUGUGAAAGCCUUCGGCUUAACCGGAGAAGUGCAUCGGAAACUGGAUAACUUGAGUGCAGAAGAGGGUAGUGGAACUCCAUGUGUAGCGGUGGAAUGCGUAGAUAUAUGGAAGAACACCAGUGGCGAAGGCGGCUACCUGGUCUGCAACUGACGCUGAGACUCGAAAGCAUGGGGUAGCGAACAGGAUUAGAUACCCUGGUAGGAUAGAC